CCGGGAAUGCUAAUGAAGCUCAGCAGCUGGUAAAAUAUUUACUUGGAGAUACCGGAGGCUUUAAAGUUCAGCCUCACAACAGCCGUGCAAACCACCGGACAGACUGAGGAUGUGUUUCUAGGUGCUUUUAUCCAAAUACGUGCCGGAGCCGCCACCCUCCCACUCAGAGGAAGCGCUUCAGCCUUGGCAGGGAACCACGUCCCUGAGCCUCACCCGGUGCUGAGAUGUGACCCCGGGGACUGUCCCUGAAUGCUGGCCUCACACCCUGGAGCGUGGACGGGACCCUGUGGCCGGUCUUGAGGGACACAGUUAUCGCCCUAAUCGGACAUGGGCGGACGGAGCAGGGCCUGCUGGCCAGGGCCAGAUGUGAACCUCUCGGCGCAGAGGCGAGUGGGGAAUCCAUCAGCGUCCACUGCGCGGAGGCCGGAGGCAGGAUGGCUUUUCCUGACGUUCCGGGAAGCCUGAAGCUUCCCCUGAACCAGCUCGUGUCCCCAGGACUGGCCCGCAGACGAGGGGGAGGCCAGCUGGUGUCUGCGGUCGCUCUGGCCGGCUCCCUCGAGCGCAACGCUGCGUGACUCUGGCUCUGCCCGUCGCCGUGAUGGCAAUGCCACCCAACUUCUCGGGGCCACAGUGCUUCUCAUCCCAUGAGGAGGAGGCCGUGGUGCCUCCCACAGGGUGUUCUCAGGAGGCAGGUGCGAAGUAGCAGACAGGUGGACGCUCUGUACCCGUGAGGACGGGAGGUGGACGCUCUGUACCCCGUGAGGACGGGAGGUGGACGCUCUGUACCCGUGAGGACGGGAGGUGCAGUGCUUAGGAAAGAGCAGAGCUGUGGUCAGAUUCCUGCAUCUUUACCAAGUACGUGUGUGUGAACACGAGGGUGCUGCUUACACACACUCACAGUUAAAGCCUCACACUCACUUCUCUGGGUCUCUGCCGUGAGCAGCUCACAGCGGGCUCUGUGGACGCGGGCGUCCCGAGCCGUGUGCCGUAUACACUUGUGCCCGACACCCCCGCCCCGCGCCUUCUCACCGAGCGCCGCGUCCCAGGUCAGGGAGGACUGUUGGGCAGGGCGCCGUGGCCGGAGAUUGAAAACCCUGCACGGGACGCUUGAAGUUGUGGACUUUCUUGGCGAGAGCACCAACGUUUACCAUGAUUGUGUUUUCGAUAGACAUUUGAGAGGUUGAGGGUGCCCUGUUAUAUGAUCUUCCGCUUUCUUUUCUUCCUUUUUAUUUUUGAAAAAUAUUAUUCAGGUAUUUUGAUCACAGAAUACGUAUUCAUUUCAGAAAACUCCGAUAAGCAAAACAUAGAAAAUCAAAACCAUGGACAAUGCUCACCCCAGACAUGGCGGGGACAGUUUGGGUGCAUCUUUCCAGCCUUGUCUGCGAGCGGAUGUGUGUGUGUGCGUGUGCAUCUGCACCCGUGUGGGAAUGCAUGUCUAUGUGUUUAUAUGUGUGCACGUGUGCAUGUGCAGGUAGGUGCAUGCAUGUGAGUACACAUGUGCACAAGUGUGCAUGUACGUGCACGUGUCUGUACAUGAGCACGUGUGUCCACAUGCACGUGGAUGCACAUGCGUGUGUGCGCACAUGUGUGCAUGUAUGUGUGUGCACACAUGUACAUGCUUACGUCUGUAUUGUGUGCACAUGUGUGCACGUGUGUGCCCAUGCCUGUGUGUGCACGUGUAUGCACGUGUGCCCGUGUGCCCGUGCCUGCACCCAGUACUGUAUGUCCCCGUGCUGAGCACACCCACCGACGGCCUGCUCCUUGCACAUACUACCGUGUCCCGUGGGCGUCACGUGUCCCCGCGCCCCCGUCUUUCGGGGGGGAGAGCCUUUCUCAGUGAUCUGUGAGAGCGCUUGCUUUACUACAUCUUGCGAUUCUGUUUUCACAGUUCCCCACUUUUUAAAAAUUAAAAACAAGGCCCUUGCGUGCCUAGCAAUGUCGAUUGGAUUCGCGGCCCGUAUGUUGUAAUUAAAAUCCAAUGUGAGCGUUUAAACAGAUUCGUCUACAAA